GACGAACCGUGCGAACGUUGUUCGGAUUCAUUGGGCUUAAAGGGCGCGUAGGCGGCCUUCUAAGUCGAACGUGAAAUCCCCGGGCUCAACCCGGGAACUGCGUCCGAUACUGGAAGGCUUGAAUCCGGGAGAGGGAUGUGGAAUUCCAGGUGUAGCGGUGAAAUGCGUAGAUAUCUGGAGGAACACCGGUGGCGAAGGCGACAUCCUGGACCGGUAUUGACGCUGAGGCGCGAAAGCGUGGGGAGCGAACAGG
rnacentral:rRNA from 1 species